AGCUGAUCAUAUGGCUGUCAGAGAGAACUGAUCAGUUAUUGAUGUUUGUGUUUGCAGAGGUCAGAGGUCACAGUCUCCAGCAUCCAGCUGUGUGUCUGUGAGGAGUGACUGGUCCAAAGACAGACCUCCACAAUUUCAUAAUGAACCUGCACGGACAAUAGGUCAGAGAUCACAGUCUCCAACAUCCAGCUGUAUAUCUAUGAAGAGUGACUGGUCCAAAGACAGACCUCCACAAUUCAGUAAUGAACCUGGACCAACAACAGGUCAGAGGUCACAGUCUCCAGUAUCAGGCUGUCUGUCUAUGAGGAGUGACUGGUCCAAAGACAGACCUCCACAAUUCAGUAAUGAACCUGGACCAACAACAAGUCAGAAGUUGCAGUCUACAUUAUCCAGCUGUCUAUCUGUGAGCAGUGACUGGUCGAAAGACAGACCUCCACAAUUCAGUCUUGGGCCUGGACCAGCAAUGCUCUUCAAUUAUGGACCUGAACUGGCCUCGAAAUGUUCUAUUUUCUCUCAUCGCAAACUGCAGACAGAUCAGUCGCAGUUUAAUAAGACAAGCAGACAAGAAAAAAGUUCAUGGUGUUAAUGAAAUGAAAGGAAUUAUUUUUUUGAUUCCAGAAUUCCUGAAUUUAAACAGAUAAGUAGCUAGACGUUUACUUUGUUCUGUGACCUUUAACGAUUCUCCAAUGUCAUGAAAUCUGGAUCUUUUUUACCAA